UUGAGUAGACCAUUUCUAAGCUGAAGAGCUGGUGGGAAGGUAACGGCGCUCCAUCCAGUCAUGCUGGCCACAUGAACUUGGAGGUGUCAACGGACAACGCCGGCUCUUCGGCUUAGAAAUGGAGAUGAGCACCAACCCCCAGAGUCAGUCACGACUGGACUUAACGUCAGGGGAAAACCUUUACCUUUACUUUUAAUCAUAAAGUACAAGCAGAAAUCCCAUGGUUGUUUUUUUGCAAUAGCUACCGAACAGGGGUAGCUAGCUUCACAGAACAAACCUAUUAAUGGCUUUUCAAAAGGAAGUUCAAUGGGUUUAUCUCCAGGCCAGCAUAUUUAUUACUGCUGUGUUACUUACUACAGCAUCCUACAUUGCAAUUAUGCAUUUAUUACCCACAUUUACAAAUCAAAAACUGCUCCACAUUCAGGCAUUCUCUAAAUUCAGAAAUAUGGCAGUAUUACCAUGAUUGCAAAUGUCACCUUCCCAAAUCUACCUUAACAGAUAUCCAGAAGUGUCAAGAAGUUGGAAAGCUGUUCCACUGGCAAUUGUGCCACAACAGGAUGAUGUUGCCUACCCUCUCCUUCCAAUAAUCUGUGGUGUUACAAUCAGAAGCAGUACUCUUGAUGCACCUUGUUAUACUGAAGAUUGCCGGAGGGAGUAGUUUCCAGCUCCUUGUCUUCUGAAUCCAUGCCGAGUUUCCAGUUCCAGGAGAGCGGCGCCGAGCCGCGACUCCUGAGUAGACCUUGCCUUGUUACCACGACUUCCUUGUUCCUGAAUCGAGAUUGACUUCACUUUGUUUACCUUGCUUCUUUGACUUUGCUACGGGACUUUUCAAGCAGAUUUGCAGUGCUUGUUUUACACUAUUGUUUCAUGGACAAAUUUUUAUAUCUAAGGGAAGCUAUCGAGCUUCACUUGUGGAUUACAAAUUGGACAUUGAUGAACUCUUUCUAAAUUGCAAUAGACUAUAUAUUAUGGAUUAUUUUUUGCUUUGACUUUCCACCUUAAAUGCGCAUAGACCUAUAUAUUUACUCUGCUUCAAUAAACAGCUUGUGUUAUAUUGGCUCCUGCCUGGUUUUCGAGUGCUCGCACUGCCUUGGGGUGCAACAGAUUCCCAGGGCAAUUGUCCCCAAAUAUCUAUCAGUAUCCACAGUAGGCUAUGUUGAGUCUGUGUGGCAAGUUUGGUUCAGAUCCGUCGUUGUCUGGGUUCAGUGCUCUUUGGAUACAGGUGAACUACAACUCCCAAAAUCAAGGCCCAUUCCCACAAACCCUGCAGUAUUUUCAGUUGGUCAUGAGGCUUCUUUGUGCGAAGUUUGGUCCUGGUCCAUUGUCGGUGGGGGUCACUUUCUCUGGAUACAGGUGAAUUAUAACUCCCUUUCUCCCAAAGUAGUCCUAUAUGUUCUAUUGGUUAUGGUUACGGGGGCUCUAUGUGCCAAGUGUGGUCCUGGUCCAUCAUCGGUGGGGUUCGAUUGCAGGUGAACUAUAAAUCCCAGUACCUACGACUCCCAAAUGUCCAGGCCAAUUCCAUUUCAAACCCACCAGUAUUCAAAUCUGGGCAUAUCAGGUAUGCAUGGCAAGUUUGGUCCCGACCGAUCAUUGUUUGGGUUCAUAGCGUUCUGGGUGUAGGUGAACUAUAACUCCUCUAAAUUCCCCAGUAGGAGUCACAGUGCUCUGACUUGAUGCAGGGUGAACGACAACUUCCACCAUGUGGAAUCAAACACCCAAACUCCUCCCGUAAGUUUAGUUGCAGCUCAGUUCUGC